GUACACGCUGUGACUAGCAUAUCAAUAAGCGGAGGAAAAGAAACUAACAAGGAUUCCCUUAGUAACGGCGAGUGAAGCGGGAAGAGCUCAAAUUUGAAAUCUUGAAAGGUCACCUUUCACGAAUUGUAGUUUAAAGAAGUGUUUUCUGUUACGAUCGUAAUAUAAGUUCUUUGGAAUAGGACAUCACAGAGGGUGAGAAUCCCGUCUAUGAUUGCGAUUUGUAGCUUUGUGAUACACUUUCAAAGAGUCGGGUUGUUUGGGAAUGCAGCCCAAAACGGGAGGUAAAUUUCUUCUAAGGCUAAAUAUUGGCGAGAGACCGAUAGCGAACAAGUACCGUGAGGGAAAGAUGAAAAGAACUUUGAAAAGAGAGUUAAAUAGUACGUGAAAUUGUCAAAAGGGAAGCGUUUAACACCAGUGUUGUUUUCUGAAAAUCAACCUCUGUUAGCUUUAUGCAUGUUUGUUUAGACCUAAUCAGCUAUCUUGCAUGUUCUAUUGUUUGCAGUGGUGCACUUUUCAGUUUACAGGUCAACAUCAGUUUUUUUUACCGUAAAAAAGUUAAAGAAAGGUAGCUCAUGGCUCCGGUCGUGAGUGUUAUAGUCUUUUUCCUAUGCGGUAGGAGAGACUGAGGUCUGCAGUGUAGGCUAUUUGGCUAGAUACUCAGGUGCUAUGUGAUACCAUUUCAUAAACAACUUGUUGAUUAUGUUUUGUCUAUUGCAUACUCGCUUGUACCUAUCAUACCUACGCUUAGGAUGUUGAACUACUGAGACAUAGA
rnacentral:rRNA from 1 species